AUUUAUCCUUAGCUGAGGGAGAAACCCAGCUCCUGCUGCCCCCGUGGAAAGCAUGCCGAGAGGAAGAGAUGCGGACAAAGCUGAGCUAAAAAACCUCGUUAACAUCAUCGCUGUAACCAGACACACAGCCAAGUACUCAACUGUGUGCCCAAGACAGACCUACAGACUUCAUUAGAAUGUCAUCAUAUUUUGAAGACUGACUGGCACUUUCCAGUACAUAUAGUUGGUAACAUCAGAAAACUCUGAGGCCAUGUGGAGCCACUUCAAGUCUAAAACGUGCAUACUACAGCAUCUCAACCAGGAUGUUAAAUCUUUGUUUACCGGCCUCCUCGUCUUCCUCCUUCAUUGCAAGCCUUCGAUGUGGCUCCAGAACCAAAUUCCUUUCUCUGGACACUCUUCUGUUCCCUUGUUUGUGUUUCUUGCAACUCUCUAGCUGAGAAUUGUCUUAAACAGGGCUAAUGUUACAAGGUUUUCUUUCAUCUUUUUUUUUUUUUUCUUGUAAGUCCUUAAAAUUGUCUACUGCACCUUCUUUCAGUACCACAGAAACCGUGUGGUACGUCCUGUUUUUUCACCCAUCGUUUGUUUGUUCCCCUGCGUUAUGUCACAGCAAACAUCUGAACCAGGCUUUACACGUCCAGCUAUGGGCUGCUGCUGCUUAAGGUGAUUCCAUAGCAAACAAAAAUAAACAAAAGACCCCCUCAAACCUCGUUUAGUGGUUCAUAAGAAGCUUAACUGCUCUUCAGUAAUGUCCUCUGAUUCAUUUCAAAGCUGCAAAAAUGCAGUUUAACCUUUCACUGGCAAUAUAGCUAUAGUUAUUCUGAGAGAUUGUUCCGUUCUACAAAUAUAGGGCCUUGGUAUAUAGAGCCCUUCUAUAUUGAGGAGCCAGUAGGAUUCCAGUCCAUGAGUAGUGGCCAAAAUUUACUACCUAUUCAUAGGGAUCUCUAUUGGUCAUAAACAAGUUUUCUGCAAGUCAGGAAACAUAUAAACAUAGCAUUGCCACUAAUGAAAUAUUGAUAUAUUGGGAGGGGGGGGGAUAUGUCUUUUGCUAUCUGUCAGGCUUAAAAGCAGCAGUGUAUAGGAUCAGUAUGCCCAAAUUUAUUAGGUGGUUUUAAAAGCUCCCUCCCUCCUGAAAUAAUUACUAAAAUUGCAAGAAAGUCACUGCUCUCUAAUAAAUGUGUAUUUUCUCAGCUAUAUCCCUGUGACAUAAUAUUUUAAAUUAAUCUGGCUUAUUUAAUCCUAUAAAUUUUCCUGGAACACUGUCUUA